GGGGGGGGGGGGGGGGGGGCCGGGGGCGGGCGGGUCGGGCGGAGGGGCGAGAAGCGUGCUUCUCUGAUGGGGGCGGCGGACGGGUGAGUAAGACGUGGAUAACCUACCUAUCAGAAUGGGAUAACUUCGGGACACCGGGUCUACUACCGGAUAAUAUUUUGAACCGCAUGGUUCAAAAGUGAAAUACUGUCUUUCUUUCACUUAUAGAUUGCUCCGCGCUGCAUUAGCUAGUUGUGAAGGUAACGGCUUAACAAGGCAACGAUGCAUCGCCGACCUGAUAGGGUGAUCGGCAACACGGGAACUGAGACACGGUCCAGACGCCUAAGGGAGGCAGCAGUAGGGAAUCGUCCGCAACGGGCGAAAGCCUGACGGAGCAACGCCGCGUGAGUGAUGAAGGUCUUCGGAUCGUAAAACUCUGUUAUUAGGGAAGAACAUAUGUGUAAGUAACUGUGCACAUCGUGACGGUACCUAAUCAGAAAGCCACGGCUAACUACGUG
rnacentral:rRNA from 1 species